rnacentral:tRNA from 1 species
GGGAAAGUGGCUCAGUGGUAGAGCGCUUGCCUUGCAUGCAUGAGACCCUGGGUUCGAUUCCUCAGUACCA